UGAGGGAAUAUUGGGUCAAUGGGCGGGAGCCUGAACCAGCCAAGUCGCGUGAGGGAGGAAGGUCCUACGGAUUGUAAACCUCUUUAGCCGGGGAGCAACGUGCGCCACGCGUGGCGCAGUGAGAGUACCCGGAGAAUAAGCAUCGGCUAACUCCGUGCCAGCAGCCGCGGUAAUACGGAGGAUGCGAGCGUUAUCCGGAUUUAUUGGGUUUAAAGGGAGCGUAGGCCGUCUGUUAAGCGUGUUGUGAAAUGUCGGGGCUCAACCUGGGCAUUGCAGCGCGAACUGGCAGACUUGAGUGCGCAGGAAGUAGGCGGAAUUCGUCGUGUAGCGGUGAAAUGCUUAGAUAUGACGAAGAACUCCGAUUGCGAAGGCAGCUCACUGGAGCGCAACUGACGCUGAAGCUCGAAAGUGCGGGUAUCGAACAGGAUUAGAUACCCUGGUAGU
rnacentral:rRNA from 1 species